CAUAAUGUGUUUCAUAAUGCUGCUGACAACAUGUAUGCAGUAUAUCUGACAGUGUGUGUGGAUGCUGACACUGCAGGUAUUAUUCAAUACCACUGGGUCCUGACACUGCAGGUAUUAUUCAAUACCACUGGGUCCUGACACUGCAGGUAUUAUUCAAUACCACUGGGUCCUGACACUGCAGGUAUUAUUCAAUACCACUGGGUCCUGACACUGCAGGUAUUAUUCAAUACCACUGGGUCCUGACACUGCAGGUAUUAUUCAAUACCACUGGGUCCUGACACUGCAGGUAUUAUUCAAUACCACUGGGUCCUGACACUGCAGGUAUUAUUCAAUACCACUGGGUCCUGACACUGCAGGUAUUAUUCAAUACCACUGGG